rnacentral:lncRNA from 10 species
GUUUCCGGCCCGGGGCCCGACUGCGGGUGGCAUUUCUGGCUAAGCCGUUAGGCGCGAAUUAUAUGGAGAUAUAUACACACACGUAUCUGAAAACAUUCUGACGUUUUAAAAACGGAGCACCAGAGGAGGGGGACUUCAUCUGACUUGUUCAGCACUGUCUCCCAGGCCCUGGCACAGAGGGAGCACUCGAUACACACCGAUGGGCUGAAGACCCUGAGCCGUUGUCAAAACACAGCUUAAUCCCCAUUCCCUGGGCCCGAGACCCUGCAGCCCCCACGCUGCCCGGCUUCCGGUCUUACCUGGGGCAACCUGACCAACAAGAACGCGGAAGGCCAGGAGCCAAAAACAGAGACUCCUGAUGGGUAACAGAAGGAAAAGACUUGGAGGCUGCCAUUUCUCCAAGUAGUCCUGGAGAUUCUCAAAUGCUAAAGUUAACCAACACAGUGCCCUAAGACCAGAAAGGAGAAAAAAUGGAAGUUCUGGGUCCUGCCAAAGGACUAUUUCACUGAGCAGACUGCUGAGACCUCUGAAUUAUGUGGACACUUGAGAAUCAGUCAUGUGUUGGGGCCGGCGUCGUGGCUCAUGCCUGUAAUCCCAGCACUUUGGCAUUUUGGGAGGCCAAGGCGGGUGGAUCACCUGUGGUCAGGAGUUCGAGACCAGCCUGGUCAACAUGGUGAAACCCUGUCUUUACUAAAAACAAAAACAAACCCCAAAAAUUAGCCAGGUAUGGUGGCCGGCACCUGUAAUCCGAGCUAGUCGGGAGGCUGAGGCAGGAGAACUGCUUGGGCUUGGGAGGCAGAGGUUGCAGUGAGCCGAGAUUGUGCCACUGCACUUCAGCCUGGGCGACAAGAGUGAAACACCA